UUAUAAGUAAAAAUUUAUAUUUUAGAUUCAUUCAUUUAAUGAUGCACAUGAUCUUUAUUAUAGACCAUAUACAUCAUUAAAUGAAUGGACCUAAAAUAUAAUUUUUUGCUCAUAU
rfam:Medicago truncatula strain A17 chromosome 4, whole genome shotgun sequence.